UACGUAGGGUGCAAGCGUUGUCCGGAAUUAUUGGGCGUAAAGAGCUCGUAGGCGGUUUGUCGCGUCGAAUGUGAAAACCCGGGGCUCAACCCCGGGCCUGCAUUCGAUACGGGCAGACUAGAGUUCGGUAGGGGAGUCUGGAAUUCCUGGUGUAGCGGUGAAAUGCGCAGAUAUCAGGAGGAACACCGGUGGCGAAGGCGGGACUCUGGGCCGAUACUGACGCUGAGAGACGAAAGCUAGGGGAGCGAAUGGG
rnacentral:rRNA from 1 species